GGCCUCGUAGCUCAGUUGGUUAGCGUGUUGGUUGUACUAAAGCCUUCUCCUUGCUGGUCUGGGUUCGAAUCCCACCAAGGCCG
rnacentral:tRNA from 1 species